UUAUUUCUGAUAUUUUUGGAGCAUGUAAUAGAAUAUGAUGUAACAAGUUUGAUGUGUAGCAAUGUUGAAGUUUAAUGUAAAUUAUUUUGAAUGAAUGAAGAUGAAACUUUUCAGUCGCUUCUUCUGCUCAGGUUCUUUCUUCUUAUGAGCAUGUUUCUUCCUCUCAGUUGAUUUGCUCUUCACCUUACUUGGAGUACUAGGGUUGGGAAUAACUUGUUCAGCAACAAGUGUAGAAUUACA
rnacentral:lncRNA from 1 species